rnacentral:lncRNA from 1 species
GGAGGACUGGCCGGUUAGCUGCUCCCGAGUUAUUUUCCCAGGCAGUGCUGCAAGGAGUUCUGGGAGUUCCGGGGAGAAGAGACCAGCCUCCCUCUGGAGACCUUUACUACAGGUGAAGACCUUCAAACAAGUCAAGCAGACAUAGCAGGAGCUCAGAAGUUUUACAUCAAGCCUCCACUGAAGCUUUGCAGUCCACCAUUCAGAGCCCAGACAAGCGC